UCUGUGUCUGUGACAUUUAGCGAUCGGUCUCUCCGCAUAACGAGUGCCAGAGACUGCAUUAUCAUUUAUCAGCCUCAGCUUGACUGUAUCUGUGCCGUGUGCGUCCUGUAGGAGAAUAAACCACACACAUCCACAAACUUGUAUGCAUAUGUCAUGCAUAUAUCUACAAUACAUCAAGCUCUCAUCCUUUGAUAAUCAUCCAGCCUGUCGUGAGUCAAACCAACUGCAGUAAAGAACACACAGUGGAUAGCCUGUACAUUUGAUUCCCUUCUGGAUGGAUAUAAUUUGCACUUGAUUCAGCUUCAUCAUCUCGAUGUUCUCUGAUGCUGCAAUUACAGAGAUUGAACAGAGAAGCUCUUCAGAAGACUGCACUGAUGUCAAAGAUCAACUGGCAAGAACUCUCAAAAUUUGUACACCUUUUUAGCCCAUGUCAAACCUACAUGGGCCCCACAUACGAAUGUUGACUAGGACUGAAUACAGUCUCUCUGGUCACUGUAGCCACCAGAUCCAGUCUGUAUCCAGAUCAGAGGGUCACUGCAGUCACCCGGAUCCAGUACGUAUCCAGUCCAGAUGGUGGAUCAGCACCUAGAAAGGACCUCUAAUGCCCUGAAAAACAGCGGAGACCAGGACAACUAGAGCCCCAGAUACAGAUCCCCUGUAAAGACCUUGUCUGAGAGGACCACCAGGACAAGACCACAGGAAACAGAUGAUUCUUCUGCACAAUCUGACUUUGCUGCAGCCUGGAAUAGAACUACUGGUUUCGUCUGGUCAGAGGAGAACUGGCCCCCCCAACUGAGCCUGGUUUCUCUCAAGGUUUUUUUCUCCUUUCUGUCACUGAUGGAGUUUCGUUUACUUGCCGCUGUCUUCUCUGGCUUGCUUAGUUGGGUUCACUUCAUCUAUAGCGAUAUCGUUGACUUGAUUGCAAAUAAAUGCACAGACACUAUUUAACUGAACAGAGAUGACAUCACUGAAUUCAAUGAUGAACUGCCUUUUACUAUCAUUUUGCAUUAUUGACACUGUUUUCCUAAUGAAUGUUGUUCAGUUACUUUGAGGCAAUGUAUUUUGUUUAAAGCACUAUAUAAAUAAAGGUGACUUGACUUGAUGGGUUCACAGCUGAGAGGACAUUUCACUCGUUGGCUUCAGCGUCACAUUUGCAUAUGGUCAUACUUCCUGGUUCUAGUAAGUACUCUUGCUGCUGCAUUUUGGACUAGCUGUAGUUUGUUUACUAAGCGUGCAGAACAACCACCCAAUAAACAUUACAAUAAUCAAACCUUGGUUUGAGGUCAUAAAUGCAUGGAUUAACAUUUCUGCAUUUGACAUUGAAAGCAUAGGUCAUAAUUUAGAUAUAUUUUUGAGAUGGAAAAAUGUUUUACAAAUGCUAGAAACGUGGCUUUCUAAGGAAAGAUUGCUAUCAAAUAGCACACCUAGGUUCCUAACUGGUGAUGACAAAUUUACAGAGCAGCCAUCAAGUCUUAGACAGUGUUCUAGGUUAUUACAUGCAGAGUUUUUUGAUCCUAUAAUUAACACCUUGUUUUUUUUCUUUCAGAAUUUAGCAGUAAGAAAUUACUAGUCAUCCAGUUUUUUUUAUAUCGACUCUGCAUUCAAUUCGUUUUUCAAAUUGGUGUGUUUCACAGGGCCGCAAAGAAAUAUAGAGCUGAGUGUCAUCUGCAUAACAGUGAAAGCUGUCGUCAAUUCCAUGUGACAGUAUUCAAUCUAGAGUAUGAUUUCGACAAUGAGUAGGUCCUGAGACACGUUGUCUAACCCCAAUAGAGUUCAGAAUGUCUAUAAAUGCUGAUCCCAAUGCAUAUUUUCAUUAUAAAAAAGAAUAUUAAAAGGACCAACUAUUAUUAAAACGUUAUCUGCAGCCAGAACUAACUCGGAUAUAAAAUCACCAAACACCAAACUGAUAAAGUAUGUAUGGUGCCCUGGUGGCCUGUAUACAGUAGCCAGUACAAACAUCACAGGGGAUUUAUCAUUAACAUUUUUUUUCUCUGGAUAAUGUUAUAUGAAGCACCAAUACUUCAAACGAGUUAUACUUAAAGCCUGCCCUCUGUGAAAUCCUAAAAACAUUGUUAUAAAUUGAAGCGGAACCUCCCCCUUUGCCUUUUGGAUGUGGCUAAUGUUUAUAACCGUAAUCUUGGUGGGUAGACUUAUUUAAAAUAAUGUAAUCAUCAGGUUUUAGCCAGGUUUCUGUGUUCUGUGCGGUCCUGUUAAAGUAAAGUAAGAAAAUCUUUAUUAUCUUUUGAAAAUAGUAAAGUAUAUUGUUACCAGAGCUUACAAAUGGGCAACUUAAAGGACAUGUAACCUGCAGAAGAUAAAUACCUGUGUGUGUAUUUUUGCUUUGCUUUAUCACAGAUGCUCAAGUUAGAUCUGAUGUUGUGUUGCUGGUGUUAUGUGGAUGUAAUGUAUUAAUGUCUGUCUUUUAGACAUUUUUCCACAUUUUCCUGAUAUGAAUCCCAUGCAUUAGGUGUGCUAUAUAUGUUUUUAUUCUUAUAAUAGUCUCAAAGUAUUUUCUGAAAUAUAUAAUUGCAAAGUCCGGUACAAUUUAAAUUAAUGAAUGAAAAAUAUUUUAAAAAUAAAUUAGGAUUGUUUAAAGCAGUGGUUCUCAAAGUGUCAGGGUCCCUCUGGUGGUUAAGCAGGGGAAUCACUAAAUUAAAUAUCAAUUUGUGUUAAUACAUUUUAAUUUAAUCUUUGAGUAAUCUUUCUUUCUUUCUUUCUUUCUUCCUUUUUUUUUUACUACAGUGAAACCCGUUUAAACCCAUUCUUCUCAAAGUUCCAUUCUUGAAAAUCAUAGCUAUUAGCCAACUUCAGAGCUAUAACUUUUGUAACGUUCAAUUUAUAGUCAAAAAGAAAACAGAUUUGGAAAGGGUUUGAACCCAUAUGGUAUCAAAACCUAAAAAGAAAAUAAUCAAAAAUACACCCAUCAGUCAACUUGUUAAUGCUAUAAAUUAUUUACAGCAAUAAAAUAAAAUUUCAAGAACAUGAACAACAAUAUAACAUUAGACCACAUAAAUUCCAAAAUGGCAUUUCCUUAAAUUCAACUUCCAAAAGUGCAUUCCUCUCUGCCAUAUUACAUUCAUUUAGUUGACUAGUGCUAUUUGCUGUUCUAACAAAAACAUAAAUGGAAUUAAUAAAAAUACUAACACUAAGAAGCUACGCAAAAUUGCAUUAAUAAUGUGAUUCAUCUAAUGAACGUGAUAUAGCAUAGCUUGUCAGUGAUCUACGGCUCUGUGUAUUAAAUGAUGUUCCAUCUAAAAGCACAUGAUGGAGAUUUACCGGUAGUAUUAAUCACAGAAACACAGUGGUGGAAACACAGUUCAAAUUAUAUAUAUAUAUAUAGACCCAAUCCCUUCUCACCUUAUCCAAACAAUCUCUCCUACACUUUUACCAGCACUCACACACAUCAUCAACACAUCUCUCCUCACAAGCACCUUCCCCACAGCAUUCAAGCAGGCUCCUAUAACCUCACUGCUCAAAAAAACCUACAUCAAACACUUCAUUUACAGAUAGUUACAGACCUUUCUCUCUCCUUCCUUUCACAGCGAAAACCCUCAAAAGAGUAGUUUUUAACCAGAUAUCAUUGUUUCUUUCAUAGAACAACACACUGGAUGUUAACCUGGCAGGCCUUUCAUGGUGGUUUGGGGCAGGGAGGUAUCCAAAAUACAUCAACUGGUCACUGGGGUUCCUCAGGGAUCAGUUCUUGGACCCCUCCGCUUCUCUGUAUAAACAAAAUCACUGGGUCCCAUCAUACAGGCACAUGGUUUCACCUACCAUUGCUUUGCUGAUGACACAACCGCUUUAUCUUUCAUUUCAACCAAAUGAUCCAACAGUAGCUGCACGGAUCUCAGGCUGCCGGGCAGACAUCUCGGCAUGCAUGAAAGAAUAUCACGACUCAACCUGGCAAAAACUGAGCUUCUUUGUUUUAUCCUGCUACUACAACUCUACAGCAUGAUUUCACCAUCCAGCUAGGUUCUUCCACAAUUACCCCAUUUUAUCAAUUAUCAAUUAUCAACUUUGGUCAGAAAUCUUGGUGUAAACUUUGAUGAUCAGCUGACCCUUCAAAGACCACAUUGCAAAGACUGCCUGAUCUUGCAGAUUUGCAUUGCACAACAUCAGAAAAAUCAAUCAAUUUUCUAAAACUGGACUUUAUGCUUUCUUAUAGAACAGCCAUAGGCUCAGCACCUACCUACUUCCACUCACUAUGAUGAAUCUACAUCCCUUUCAGAAGACACCUCAUGGUACCAUCACAGAGAGGUUCAAAUCACUUUCUAGAACAUUCCUGGCUGGUUGAAUGAAAUUCCAACCCCUAUAUGGAACGCUGAAUCCCUGGCAAUUUUCAAGCAACUCAUCUCUUUCGAAGCUACUUGAGAAAAAAAAAAAAAACCUUCCCCUUAAUUUAUUCAUUCUCUUGUACUUAUUUGAACAAUGCCUAAAACUUGGUAUUACAAGCACAUCCUGUGUCUAUUCGCCCCUUUAAGAAGAAUUGCUUUAUGUAUCCCUCAAUUGUAAGUCGCUUUGGAUAAAAGCAUCCACAAAAUGACUAAAUGUAUGUAUAUAUUUGUAUAACACAAUACAACAACAGUAAUUACAACA